CCUACGGGAGGCAGCAGUGAGGAAUAUUGGUCAAUGGACGGAAGUCUGAACCAGCCAUGCCGCGUGCAGGAAGACGGCUCUAUGAGUUGUAAACUGCUUUUGUCAGGGAGCAAAGUCACCCACGUGUGGGUGUUGGAGAGUACCUGAAGAAAAAGCAUCGGCUAACUCCGUGCCAGCAGCCGCGGUAAUACGGAGGAUGCGAGCGUUAUCCGGAUUUAUUGGGUUUAAAGGGUGCGUAGGCGGGUUAUCAAGUCAGCGGUAAAAUCGUGGAGCUCAACUCCAUCCAGCCGUUGAAACUGAUGAUCUUGAGUGGGCGAGAAGUAUGCGGAAUGCGUGGUGUAGCGGUGAAAUGCAUAGAUAUCACGCAGAACUCCGAUUGCGAAGGCAGCAUACCGGCGCCCGACUGACGCUGAAGCACGAAAGCGUGGGUAUCGAACAGGAUUAGAUACCCUUGUAGUC
rnacentral:rRNA from 1 species